rnacentral:rRNA from 1 species
AGUGAACGCUGGCGGUAGGCCUAACACAUGCAAGUCGAACGGCAGCACAGUAAGAGCUUGCUCUUACGGGUGGCGAGUGGCGGACGGGUGAGGAAUACAUCGGAAUCUACUUUUUCGUGGGGGAUAACGUAGGGAAACUUACGCUAAUACCGCAUACGACCUACGGGUGAAAGCAGGGGAUCUUCGGACCUUGCGCGAUUGAAUGAGCCGAUGUCGGAUUAGCUAGUUGGCGGGGUAAAGGCCCACCAAGGCGACGAUCCGUAGCUGGUCUGAGAGGAUGAUCAGCCACACUGGAACUGAGACACGGACCAGACUCCUACGGGAGGCAGCAGUGGGGAAUAUUGGACAAUGGGCGCAAGCCUGAUCCAGCCAUACCGCGUGGGUGGAGAAGGCCUUCGGGUUGUAAAGCCCUUUUGUUGGGAAAGAAAAGCAGCAGGUUAAUACCCCGCUGUUCUGACGGUACCCAAAGAAUAAGCACCGGCUAACUUCGUG